CACUGUGUAAAAAUAACAACAAACAAAAAGUGAAUGCAAAAGUGCAUAAAUAUUUAUUUUACGUGUUUGAUGUGUGUGUCGGGGCGUGGUCUGCAGUGCCGCUGCAGGGGAGGUGGACCCACGGGUGUAAAGUCUGUGCUCUCUUGGCUGUUUUUUGGGUGUGUGUGGGGCUAUGAGUUGAAAAGCUACAGCUGCCUGUGUGGGUACACCAACCAUGUGUGAAAAGUGGUCCAUAACGUAAUGCUUCAAUGCAUGUUCAUGCAAACAUUGUCGGGGUCUGCCGUGAUACAAUGGGACUUCUGCUCAUGAACCUCUGUGCACAGCGUCUGCAAAUCGGGGCUGUACGAAGUCACCUCAUCUUUACCCAAAACUGUAAGCUGUCAUCUGUGAGGCGCGAGCAUGUGUUUGUUUUAUCAUAAUUCAUGGUGGAGAAUGGCUGCUCUGCUGAGUUUUGCUCUCUGUAGCCGUAUGAAUGGCAAACUACAGUGAUUAGCAGCGGCAUAGGCACACAUAAAAUUUCUUCUGAAAUUUUCGCUUUCUAGUUCUUUUCAUCUUUUCUUAUUACCCACAGCUACAUCCACUUCUGUCAGGCCUAGGCUGCUCACUAGGGCUGGGUAUCAUCACUGAUUUCUAUAAUCCAUUCGAUUCCGGUUCUCAAAGUCCUGAUUCGAUUCAGUUUUCCUCAGACAGUCAGAAAUAUUAUAAUUCUGAUGAAAUCUCACAGUACUGAUACAUGUGAGAUUUCAUCAGAAUUGUGAACAUCACAGCAGAUGCCUUUGUGUGAAAGUAACUGAGAAUAAAACACAGAAAAACAUGAAGGAGAUUUUUCUGGCCUGACUUUUUAUAGCAGAUAACCUUAAAAAUAUUCUGCAAUGUUCUGCAUAUAAAGUAUAUAAAGUUUAAAUUUCUUCAGUAUUGAACAGCAGAAAAAAUAGGCUUUCUUGUCCGAGGUCGUUUACGUGAAGAAAAGAAAAAGACAGCGGCCGACAGCGCUGUAAACAAUGGUAGGCUGGUGGUUAAUAAGCGGAUGAAUAAUGCAGAAAACAGAGAUUUGAGACAGGAAACUGUUCUUGAAGUACAGAGAGAGAGAGAGAGAGCUGUGCAUGAAGUGUGAUUUUAAUAGUCGUGGAAGCAAAACUGCAAAACGCAUGACAACAUUGAUCAAACGUGAAGCUCAGUUUGCUGCUUCUUUUGCUGCUGGCUCAGUGAAUUUUGGUUGGAGAGAGACAAAACCUGCAGCUCAGAAUCAGCGCAAAAAGACAUAAACACAGCGUGGACCCGACGCAUCAGAAUCGCUGAGCUCCGACAGCGUGUCCGUGUUUGGGCCGUCGGGUGAGAAAGCCGAGAAAGACAAAGCUGAUUCUGAUGCGUCGGGUCCGCUCUGUGUUUACGUCUUUGUGUGGAAUCCGUGUACCUGCUCUCAUUUGCUGUUUGGUGGUUGUUGAAAUAGUUUUGUGAGCUUUAAUCUGAGAAUCUGCCGUUUCUGGCAAAACACAGUUAUAUUUAAAAGUCAAUUCAGGAUUUAAUGAAUCGAUAUCGCUUUAUUCAAGCUACUCACCUCCCUCUUCCACCUGCACUUUCAACUGGACCACGGCCAAUCAGAGAGGUCCCGCCCCUUACUAUCUCUGAUUGGUUUAGUCCACGAUAGGGCAUAAUGUGUGUCUGUUGUUGACCACACGGAGAGUUGCAGAGAUUUUUUUUGUUUUUUUGUUACCGGAACAGUUGGUUGCACAGAUGCGACCAAAUAUUUUUUUUAGUCGCACAACUGAAAAAUUUGGUCACACUCUAUAGCCCUGCUUUAAUUCUGUUAGCAAGUACUAAAGCCAUAAUCUCAUAGUCAUUAUUGAGCAGACAGAUGGGUCUCCAAUUAUCAAUAAGAAGUAAGUCUUUGUUUGGCUUUGGAAUAAGUGUUAUGAGACCCUGAGUAAGAGUAGGAGGGAGGGUGUUAUUCUCUAUACUUUCUAUGAAAACCUGCAGUAAGAACGGAGCACUUCCUCUCCAUGGCCUUAUCAACAUCCAAUCUCCAGACUUCAGACUCUGCUCCUGAGGAGAAACAGAAUCAUCUGGCAGAUCAUUUGUUCUCAUGACUUCUUUACUUUUAAACAUUUUGAGCAUCCAAUCUGCUAAUGUGCUCUCUCUUCUGCGUUUCUAUCAUCACUACAGAAGACUAAAACUCUAAAUACUCUACCAUAUAUAAUCUCAAAGAGUCAGACCGUUCUCUGUUGGAGUAAUCCUCAUGUACAUCUUAACUAGUUCUAUACAGUCUAACCAUGUCCUGCCUGUCUCUUCCAUUGACUUCCUAAGUCUUAGCUUUACUGUGCCGUUAGUUCUCUUUGUGGGUGAUAUGAACAAUGAUGUUUUAGUGUUAUCCCUAGAUGCUGUGGCAUUAAUCCAAUCACUUCAUUUACAAAGUGUGGACCAUCAUCACUAUAAAUAGUCUCUGGAAUCCCGUGUUCCGAGAUGAUAUUCUUACAUAUUGCUUUGGCAACCGAAAUGGCAUCUGCUUCCCUAGUUGAUUGAUUGAUUGAUAUACCUUUAUUAGUCCUAGAGCUGGGCGAUAUAUCGAGUUUUUUAAAAAAAAUAUCGAUAUAUUUUUAUACGAGAUAUAAGAUGUGACAAUGGCUGUGUCCGAAUUCAGGGGAAGGAUGCUCAUAAGGACACUACCUACCUACGUCACAAGGUAGUGUCCUUAGACGGACGGGUAGUCAGGAAGUGAGCGGCUUGGACAGCCCCCUUUUUUUCUCCAUAGAAACUUUAUUGAACAAACAAUGAGUAUCCAACAUAACAGAUGGGCUGUGGACAGCCUCCUAGCCUGCAACUCCGCCCUUACUUGCGUGUUUUUCCGGACGCUAGCGCCACAGCGCGAAAACUUUAAAAUGGACCCAGAAAUGUCGCUCUGUUGUUUGGACAAUUUUAAUUUUUGAGGAGCUAGAAAAACCUUAUCGUCGUCGCCCGCACGUUUUGUACCUUAGGCUCAUCAGAGACAAACAUGUCCAGGUAAAAUAAUUUCCUUUAAUCUACACGCAUUUAGGAAUUACUUAGCUAAUUACACGGAUAAUUGAAAUAUUGCCAGCGUUGUGCCAAAAAAGUGUUCGCCUGCCAAAACUGAUUUCCAAUGUUUCCGAGUGUAAUAUGUGUAAUAUCUUUAUGUAUGUUGGUAAAUAGACUUCGGUGAACAUGGUUUACAAAGGGGUUUUAUAUAUACAAUAAUUACCUGUUGUUAAAGUAUCUUUAUAACUCUGGUUAUAAUGUAGGUACAAUCGAUAUAUUUGUUGCGCUGUCUGCUGUCCUCUUGGCCAGAUUACUCUUAAAAAAUAAAUUUCUAAUGUCAAUAAGAUUUUUUUUUUUUUAACUGGAUGAAUAAAGGAUAUAUAAAAGUCACUGCCAAAAACUGAUUGCAGCUUCUACCUUGUUACAGGAAUGUUGCUGGUGGCUCAAAGUGACUUGAUAUCACCAAUGAGGGACACAUUUGACAUGUUUCACAUAUUAUAGACCAACAAGUUAUUCAUAGCAGGUUAAAUACGAGCAAUCAGUUUAGGGCAAAAACCGGAAAUCGUUUUUUGGCAGACGAUCAUUUUUUUGGCACAACAUCGGUCAUUCUCACACAUGUACUGUAUCAUAUAAAAUAUAUAAACUAAAUAUCUUUGAAACGUAUAGAAUCUAAUCUUUUGUUUGUUUGUUUUUUUACAUAGCACUUUAUCAAACUGUUGUCUGCUACAGAGUUACAAGUAUUAUACUAAUAAUAUAGCAUCCACCAUCUCCUGCUUGCAUAUUUCUGUAAACAUCUUAGUGGUGUGGCAGCCACGAGUGAGCCCUGCAAACCCUGUGGAUGGACGAUGCAGUGGACAGUGGGAGGAAGCAUCCUAAAGCUCUCUUUGCAGACCACCCUGUGUGAUUCUCCACUUGCCCACCAGAAAAGACAAACCGCAGGUGGCUGAGUCGCUUCGUCAUCGCUGUCGUUUUGGUCACCCACUGCUGCGCUUGGCCCUGGAGAGAGAGGAAAUUAGGACAGGAGGCUUAAUGGAAGGCAUCUAUCCUAUCACCUCAUCCAUGAGGGCAAACCAGGGCCAAGUAGCAGCAGUGGGCUUCCCACUGACCCCCUCUCCUGAGCCUGGAUACUUGCAAUCCUAAAGGCAGAGGAAAUCAAAAAUGACAGCAGGCAAAUAAAAACACCACAACAACUCUUAGUAAUUGCACAUUUAUUAACUUGUGUUCUUAAGAAUUAUCUUCUUGAUAACACACAUAUGUACUUUGUAUUCUUUAAAGUUAUCUCGUGUCUUCUGGCCUGCAAGGGGGUGACUUUCCCCUGCAGGCCCAUCUUCUCCAGAAUUGUCCUGAUCACACACAACAAAUAAGAGAAGAAAGGACACCAUGGCAACUAUGUUAAUCCCUAAGCCCAAAAGUUUUCACAGCAGAACACCAGAGGAACACCGUCUGGACAUCACAGGUUCUGUACAGCAGCGGUCCGUGAGUCGUUUGGUACCGGGCCACAGAGUUAAGGCUCCGGUGUGAAAUUUAUGGUUUUCAGGGGUUUUAUCAUUAACUCGGUUUCCCUGAGUCUUUCCCUUGUUGUAGUGGUGUGUCUUAUUUUGAAAGAAAUAUUUACACGUUACCAUAGCGACCAGAAAGCAUUAAGCGGCAGAGAGGAGGAUGUUACUGUCAAUAUUGGCGCAUUUUCAGGAGGACGCUGCUAAUAAAGUUACACAAUUACACAGUACAUUCACGUUUAUUAUUAUAUUUACAAAAUACCACAGUUUUUGUCUUGGUUGGAUCAUUUUAUGUGGUUGUAUUUAUCCGCGAUACCUUAAAGGCCGGUCCGUGUCUGACAUAAACCGGUCUGUGGCUCAAAAAAGGUCGG
ensembl:lncRNA